AGUGAACGCUGGCGGUAGGCCUAACACAUGCAAGUCGAACGGCAGCACAGUAAGAGCUUGCUCUUACGGGUGGCGAGUGGCGGACGGGUGAGGAAUACAUCGGAAUCUACUUUUUCGUGGGGGAUAACGUAGGGAAACUUACGCUAAUACCGCAUACGACCUACGGGUGAAAGCAGGGGAUCUUCGGACCUUGCGCGAUUGAAUGAGCCGAUGUCGGAUUAGCUAGUUGGCGGGGUAAAGGCCCACCAAGGCGACGAUCCGUAGCUGGUCUGAGAGGAUGAAUCGGCCCCAUUGAAAUGAAACACGGGCCAAGAUCCCACGGGAGGGAGGAGUGGGGAAUUAUGGACAAUGGGCGCAAGCCUGAUCCAGCCAUACCGCGUGGGUGAAGAAGGCCUUCGGGUUGUAAAGCCCUUUUGUUGGGAAAGAAAAGCAGCAGGUUAAUACCCCGCUGUUCUGACGGUACCCAAAGAAUAAGCACCGGCGAACUUCGU
rnacentral:rRNA from 1 species